rnacentral:lncRNA from 1 species
UAAUAACUACUUGUUUAUGCUGAAAUCUGAAAAGAAAAAGUUCAAGGGUAGAAAUAUAAGUGAUAUACAUUCAGCCAGUACUUAAAAUAGCCAUGGCAGGCGAUGGACAUUAGAUUGCUUAGGAUUGGAUACACAUCUUGCAUCUCUUGGGGAGCAGAAAGAGCUGUAACUGUAGCAAUCUUCUCUGUCUUGAAUGGUGACAGAUCCUGCCUUAAGGCAGAAGGUUCCACAAGUUGGCUUCUCCAGGGCCCUUCUAGACAUGCAAUUCUCUGAGCCGCUUUCUGUUGCUGGCCUUUAGAUGCUCAGACUGAACUAGACACGGCCAAGCAUGUGCCCUUUCAGGCACUCCAGCAGUGCCAUCAGCAGCAAGGAGAGCAUCUAUUCCGACUGAAGACUUCACUCAAAGGAUAAGCUUUGACCCAGGGGCGGGAAAGAGAUGGCUAGCUCGUGCUGGGCGGGAGCGACUGGCCAGGAGACAUCUCAAGGAGCAAUGCGCUGCGCCCACAACAUGUAGGUCCCUUUCUGUCCAUCCAGUCCAGAGCGCGCAUCCCCUGGCGCGCGGUCGCACUCCGGGCUCCGGGCUCCCGAAGGAGGGCGCGUGGGAUGAUGCUCGGGUCCAUGUGCCGCCCCCAGGCUCCUGCAUCCGGAGCCGCCCUCGCUGGCACGGCCGCCGCCGCAGCUCCGGAGGGAGAAAGGAAAAAGGGAGGGGGCUGAAAAGGCUGGGGACGGGGAGGAGAGGAGGUGGGAGGGCAGGUGGGGAGGGUGAGAGGGGAGAGAGCGUGCUCCGCGGUGCCCGCGCCUGCCCGCCUCGCCCCGG